GACGAACGCUGGCGGCGUGCUUAACACAUGCAAGUCGAACGAUGAAGGAGAGAGCUUGCUCUUUUUGGAUUAGUGGCGAACGGGUGAGUAACACGUGAGUAACCUGCCCCUGACUCUGGGAUAAGCGUUGGAAACGACGUCUAAUACUGGAUACGACUGCCGGCCGCAUGGUCUGGUGGUGGAAAGAUUUUUUGGUUGGGGAUGGACUCGCGGCCUAUCAGCUUGUUGGUGAGGUAAUGGCUCACCAAGGCGACGACGGGUAGCCGGCCUGAGAGGGUGACCGGCCACACUGGGACUGAGACACGGCCCAGACUCCUACGGGAGGCAGCAGUGGGGAAUAUUGCACAAUGGGCGAAAGCCUGAUGCAGCAACGCCGCGUGAGGGAUGACGGCCUUCGGGUUGUAAACCUCUUUUAGUAGGGAAGAAGCGAAAGUGACGGUACCUGCAGAAAAAGCACCGGCUAACUACGUGCCAGCAGCCGCAGUAAAAC
rnacentral:rRNA from 1 species